rnacentral:lncRNA from 1 species
CAUAUUUAUGAAUUCAUAAAAUACCAUUUAAUCAUUUAUUAAACUUUAAUGCCGUGAUAGGAGAUAGGGUAAAAAAUCCUUACUUGUUUUGGGGUCUGAAAUCGGCUCUACAAUGUGUCUACGGGCUAUCCCUAAAUUCCUUGAAUUUUCCCUGAGAAACUGAAAUGCACUACCGGUACCUACACUACACUUGUCCCAAAAAACCCCAAAUCAGACCCAAGGCCCCUUUUUGGCCAAUAUCGGAAUUCCAGCACGGCGGCUCCAUCGUGCUCCGGCGACGGCACCGCCGCCCGCGGCGGCGAUCCGCCUCGGGUUGGCCGUUUUCAGCCAAAUUUGGCCAAACUUGCAUUGGUUCUUACAAUAAAACAACCCUAGGGCCCUCGGUGGGCCAAAAAAUCACAAAAAACUGAGACUUACCGAUGGUGGAGCUCUCGGGUGCGGUGGCUUCUCCGGUGCGAGUCGCGAUU